AAAGAAGAAGAAGAAGACACACACCCGACAGACAGCAGCUGGUGUUUGUCUAUGAAGACAGGAGACACAGCGGCACCUGAACGCCACACACAGACCACACAAUGCAUUCCUAAGCCAGGUGUUGUGUUUAUGUGCAGCUGUCGCCCCCUGCAGGCUGCGUCCACACACUACAGAAACAGGUGGAUUCAGCCAUUUGACGUGUUGCGCUGCCAUCAAUAAGCGGCCGCCCUACGUUCCAGUGACAUCACGUUGUUGGAAGAAGCAGGGUCAUGAACCAAAUUCAUCUACAAUCCACUAAAAAUUAGACAAGAAGACAGAAACUAAUGGCCGAGACAACGAGGAAGAUGCAGCGGCACGUGACACAUAUCGUAAUUUACCACUUAGUGCUGUACACAUGGGUGAAAUGGGUCCGUU